AUUGAACGCUGGCGGCAGGCCUAACACAUGCAAGUCGAGCGGAUGAAGGGAGCUUGCUCCUGGAUUCAGCGGCGGACGGGUGAGUAAUGCCUAGGAAUCUGCCUGGUAGUGGGGGAUAACGUCCGGAAACGGGCGCUAAUACCGCAUACGUCCUGAGGGAGAAAGUGGGGGAUCUUCGGACCUCACGCUAUCAGAUGAGCCUAGGUCGGAUUAGCUAGUUGGUGGGGUAAAGGCCUACCAAGGCGACGAUCCGUAACUGGUCUGAGAGGAUGAUCAGUCACACUGGAACUGAGACACGGUCCAGACUCCUACGGGAGGCAGCAGUGGGGAAUAUUGGGCAAUGGGCGAAAGCCUGAUCCAGCCAUGCCGCGUGUGUGAAGAAGGUCUUCGGGUUGUAAAGCACUUUAAGUUGGGAGGAAGGGCAGUAAGUGAAUACCUUGCUGUUUUGACGGUACCAACAGAAUAAGCACCGGCUAACUUCGUG
rnacentral:rRNA from 1 species